AGAGUUUGAUCCUGGCUCAGAACAAACGCUGGCGGCGUGCCUAAUACAUGCAAGUCGAACGAAGAAAUCUCUUCGGAGAGAGUAAGAGUGGCGCACGGGUGAGUAACGCGUGGAUAAUCUGCCCUGGAGUGGGGAACAACCUAUCGAAAGGUAGGCUAAUACCGCAUAAGACCACAGAAGCUGAGGCUUCAGUGGUCAAAGAUUUAUCGCUCCAGGAUGAGUCCGCGUAAGAUUAGCUUGUUGGUAAGGUAAUGGCUCACCAAGGCUCCGAUCUUUAACUGGUUUGAGAGGAUGAUCAGUCACACUGGAACUGAGACACGGUCCAGACUCCUACGGGAGGCAGCAGUAGGGAAUAUUGCGCAAUGGGGGAAACCCUGACGCAGCGACGCCGCGUGUGUGAUGAAGGCUUUAGGGUCGUAAAGCACUGUCGUAAGGGAAUAACACAAUGAAGGUACCUUACAAGAAAGGACCGGCUAACUUCGUGCCAGCAGCCGCGGUAAUACGAGGGGUCCUAGCGUUGUUCGGAAUCAUUGGGCGUAAAGCGGAUGUAGGCGGAAAUGUAGGUCAGAAGUGAAAGUCCCAGGCUCAACCUGGGAAGUGCUUUUGAAACCCUGUUUCUUGAGUGUAGAAGAGGUGAGUGGAAUUCCAGGUGUAGUGGUGAAAUACGUAGAUAUCUGGAGGAACAUCGGUGGCGAAGGCGGCUCACUGGUCUAUUACUGACGCUCAGAUCCGAAAGCGUGGGGAGCAAACGGGAUUAGAUACCCCGGUAGUCCACGCCGUAAACGAUGGACACUUGGUGUUGGAGGUAUUGACCCCUUCAGUGCCGAAGCUAACGCGUUAAGUGUCCCGCCUGGGGAGUACGGUCGCAAGAUUAAAACUCAAAGAAAUUGACGGGGGCCCGCACAAGCGGUGGAGCAUGUGGUUUAAUUCGAUGCAACGCGAAAAACCUUACCUGGGUUUGACAUGUACAGGAAGUAUCCAGAAAUGGGUAUGCCUUCGGGCCUGUAUACAGGUGCUGCAUGGCUGUCGUCAGCUCGUGUCGUGAGAUGUUGGGUUAAGUCCCGCAACGAGCGCAACCCCUAUCUUUAGUUGCCAGCAUUUAGUUGGGCACUCUAGAGAGACUGCCGACGUUAAGUCGGAGGAAGGUGGGGAUGACGUCAAGUCCUCAUGGCCCUUAUACCUAGGGCUACACACGUGCUACAAUGGUAAAUACAGAGGGCAGCGAAGGGGUGACCCGGAGCGAAUCUCAUAAAGCUCGUCUCAGUUCGGAUUGAAGUCUGCAACUCGACUUCAUGAAGUUGGAAUCGCUAGUAAUCGUGGAUCAGAAUGCCACGGUGAAUACGUUCCCGGGCCUUGUACACACCGCCCGUCACACCAUGGAAGUUGGUUGUACCAGAAGCCGCUGAGCUAACUUCGGAGGCAAGCGUCCAAGGUAUGGUCGAUGAUUGGGGUGAAGUCGUAACAAGGUAGCCGUAGGGGAACCUGCGGCUGGAUCACCUCCUU
rnacentral:rRNA from 1 species